UACAGAGGGUGCAAGCGUUGUUCGGAAUUAUUGGGCGUAAAGAGCUCGUAGGCGGCUUGUUGCGUCAGCUGUGAAAACCCGCAGCUCAACUGUGGGCUUGCAGCUGAUACGGGCAGGCUUGAGUUCGGUAGGGGAGACUGGAAUUCCUGGUGUAGCGGUGAAAUGCGUAGAUAUCAUUUGGAACGCCAACGGCGAAAGCAGGCAGCUGGGGGAUGCACCGACGCUGAGACACGAAAGCCAGGGGAGCGAACGGG
rnacentral:rRNA from 1 species